CGGACGACGCUGGCGGCGUGGAUUAGGCAUGCAAGUCGGACGGUAGGGCUUUAUCGUAAGAUAGAGUUUGAGAGUGGCGAGCGGGUGAGUAACACGUAGGAAUCUACCCUUAAGACGGGGACAACCCAGGGAAACUUGGGCUAAUACCGGAUGAGAGUGCGAGAGAUUGCAUUUAAAAGGAUGGCGAAAGUUGUCGCUUAGGGAUGAGCCUGCGGUCUAUUAGUUAGUUGGUGAGGUAAGAGCUCACCAAGGCGAUGAUAGAUAGGCGGCCUUAACGGGUGGUCGCCCACACUGGGAUUGAGACACGGUCCAGACUCCUACGGGAGGCAGCAGUGGGGAAUUUUGGACAAUGGGGGCAACCCUGAUCCAGCCAUGCCGCGUGAGUGAAGAAGGCCUUCGGGUUGUAAAGCUCUUUCGGCCGGGAAAAAAUCGCAUAGGUUAAUACCCUGUGUGGAUGAUGGUACCGGAAUAAGAAGCACCGGCUAACUACGUG
rnacentral:rRNA from 1 species